AUUGAACGCUGGCGGCAUGCCUUACACAUGCAAGUCGAACGGUAACAGGUCUUCGGAUGCUGACGAGUGGCGGACGGGUGAGUAAUACAUCGGAACGUGCCCGAUCGUGGGGGAUAACGGAGCGAAAGCUUUGCUAAUACCGCAUACGAUCUACGGAUGAAAGCCGGGGACCGCAAGGCCUUGCGCGGACGGAGCGGCCGAUGGCAGAUGAGGUAGUUGGUGGGAUAAAAGCUUACCAAGCCGACGAUCUGUAGCUGGUCUGAGAGGACGACCAGCCACACUGGGACUGAGACACGGCCCAGACUCCUACGGGAGGCAGCAGUGGGGAAUUUUGGACAAUGGGCGAAAGCCUGAUCCAGCCAUGCCGCGUGCAGGAUGAAGGCCUUCGGGUUGUAAACUGCUUUUGUACGGAACGAAAAGACUCUUUCUAAUAAAGAGGGUCCAUGACGGUACCGUAAGAAUAAGCACCGGCUAACUACGUG
rnacentral:rRNA from 1 species